rnacentral:rRNA from 1 species
AGCUUGCUGAUUCGCUGACGAGUGGCGGACGGGUGAGUAAUGUCUGGGAAACUGCCUGAUGGAGGGGGAUAACUACUGGAAACGGUAGCUAAUACCGCAUAACGUCGCAAGACCAAAGAGGGGGACCUUCGGGCCUCUUGCCAUCGGAUGUGCCCAGAUGGGAUUAGCUAGUAGGUGGGGUAACGGCUCACCUAGGCGACGAUCCCUAGCUGGUCUGAGAGGAUGACCAGCCACACUGGAACUGAGACACGGUCCAGACUCCUACGGGAGGCAGCAGUGGGGAAUAUUGCACAAUGGGCGCAAGCCUGAUGCAGCCAUGCCGCGUGUAUGAAGAAGGCCUUCGGGUUGUAAAGUACUUUCAGCGGGGAGGAAGGGAGUAAAGUUAAUACCUUUGCUCAUUGACGUUACCCGCAGAAGAAGCACCGGCUAACUCCGUGCCAGCAGCCGCGGUAAUACGGAGGGUGCAAGCGUUAAUCGGAAUUACUGGGCGUAAAGCGCACGCAGGCGGUUUGUUAAGUCAGAUGUGAAAUCCCCGGGCUCAACCUGGGAACUGCAUCUGAUACUGGCAAGCUUGAGUCUCGUAGAGGGGGGUAGAAUUCCAGGUGUAGCGGUGAAAUGCGUAGAUAUUAGGAGGAACACCAGUGGCGAAGGCGGCUUGCUGGACGAUGACUGACGUUCAGGCUCGAAAGCGUGGGGAGCAAACAGGAUUAGAUACC